GCCAGGCGGGGUGGCAUGCGCCUGUAGUCCCAGCUACUCGGGAGGCUGAGGUGGGAGGAUUGCUUGGGCCCAGGAGUUCUGGGCUGUAGUGCGCUGUGCCGAUCGGGUGUCCACACUAAGUUAGGCAUCAAUAUGGUGACCUCCCGGGAGCGGGGGACCACCAGGUUGCCUAAGGAGGGGUGAACCGGCCCAGGUCGGAAACGAAGCGGGUCAAAACUCCCGUGCUGAUCAGUAGUGGGAUUGCACCUGUGAACAGCCACUGCACUCCAGCCUGGGCAACAUAGUGACACCCCGUGUCU
rnacentral:SRP_RNA from 1 species